GUUAAGCGACUAAGCGUACACGGUGGAUGCCCUGGCAGUCAGAGGCGAUGAAGGGCGUGCUAAUCUGCGAUAAGCGCCGGUAAGGUGAUAUGAACCGUUAUAACCGGCGAUACCCGAAUGGGGAAACCCAGUGUGAUUCGUCACACUAUCAUUAACUGAAUCCAUAGGUUAAUGAGGCGAACCGGGGGAACUGAAACAUCUAAGUACCCCGAGGAAAAGAAAUCAACCGAGAUUCCCCCAGUAGCGGCGAGCGAACGGGGAGGAGCCCAGAGCCUGAAUCAGCAUGUGUGUUAGUGGAAGCGUCUGGAAAGGCGCGCGAUACAGGGUGACAGCCCCGUACACAAAAGCGCAUGUGCUGUGAGCUCGAUGAGUAGGGCGGGACACGUGGUAUCCUGUCUGAAUAUGGGGGGACCAUCCUCCAAGGCUAAAUACUCCUGACUGACCGAUAGUGAACCAGUACCGUGAGGGAAAGGCGAAAAGAACCCCGGCGAGGGGAGUGAAAAAGAACCUGAAACCGUGUACGUACAAGCAGUGGGAGCACCCUUCGGGGUGUGACUGCGUACCUUUUGUAUAAUGGGUCAGCGACUUAUAUUCUGUAGCAAGGUUAACCGUAUAGGGGAGCCGGAGGGAAACCGAGUCUUAAC
rnacentral:rRNA from 3 species